AGCACAUUCAAUUGCAAUGUUGUUGCACAGUUACAUUAAACCAUACAUUUAUAAAAACAUUAGCAGGUGUUCAAAAGGCCCUGUCUAUGACAUCACUUGCUGCUGCAGCUUGACACAGGUCAGAGUAUUUUGGUGGUUUCCAUCUUCAAACGGUCGUAUCUUAAAAACUAUAACUCCUACAGUGAAGAGCUUUAUAUUGUGAGAAUCACAAGACCCAGACCUACAUUUUGAUGCAUAGUAUGUCUCUGAAAUAUUAAAAUUGAAGGCACAGUCGCAGUUUAGAAAUUGCACUUCAAAUUUGAGCUUUGCAGAGUGAAGUUUCAAUGAAAGUCAAUGGACGGCGUUAGU